GUAAUGCGUGACCAACCUCGCCCCAUGCUCCAGAAUAGCUCUUGGAAACGGGUGGUAAUGCUGGAUGCUCCAACUUGACGCAUGUCUUGUUGGGAAAGUGUUUAGUGGCAUGGGAUGGGGUCGCGUCCUAUCAGCUUGUAGGCGGGGUAAUGGCCCACCUAGGCUUCGACGGGUAGCCGGCCUGAGAGGGCGGACGGCCACAUUGGGACUGAGAUACGGCCCAGACUCCUACGGGAGGCAGCAGCC
rnacentral:rRNA from 1 species